GGGUUGUGAGGUUAAGCGACUAAGCGUACACGGUGGAUGCCCUGGCAGUCAGAGGCGAUGAAGGACGUGCUAAUCUGCGAAAAGCGUCGGUAAGGUGAUAUGAACCGUUACAGCCGGCGAUGUCCGAAUGGGGAAACCCAGUGUGAUUCGUCACACUAUCGUUAACUGAAUACAUAGGUUAACGAGGCGAACCGGGGGAACUGAAACAUCUAAGUACCCCGAGGAAAAGAAAUCAACCGAGAUUCCCCCAGUAGCGGCGAGCGAACGGGGAGCAGCCCAGAGUCUGAAUCAGCUUGUGUGUUAGUGGAACGGUCUGGAAAGUCCGACGGUACAGGGUGAUAGUCCCGUACACCAAAAUGCACAGGCUGUGAACUCGAAGAGUAGGGCGGGACACGUGGUAUCCUGUCUGAAUAUGGGGGGACCAUCCUCCAAGGCUAAAUACUCCUGACUGACCGAUAGUGAACCAGUACCGUGAGGGAAAGGCGAAAAGAACCCCGGCGAGGGGAGUGAAAAAGAACCUGAAACCGUGUACGUACAAGCAGUGGGAGCACCUUCGGGUGUGACUGCGUACCUUUUGUAUAAUGGGUCAGCGACUUAUAUUCUGUAGCAAGGUUAACCGUAUAGGGGAGCCGCAGGGAAACCGAGUCUUAACUGGGCGUUAAGUUGCAGGGUAUAGACCCGAAACCCGGUGAUCUAGCCAUGGGCAGGUUGAAGGUUGGGUAACACUAACUGGAGGACCGAACCGACUAAUGUUGAAAAAUUAGCGGAUGACUUGUGGCUGGGGGUGAAAGGCCAAUCAAACCGGGAGAUAGCUGGUUCUCCCCGAAAGCUAUUUAGGUAGCGCCUCGUGAACUCAUCUUCGGGGGUAGAGCACUGUUUCGGCUAGGGGGUCAUCCCGACUUACCAACCCGAUGCAAACUACGAAUACCGAAGAAUGUUAUCACGGGAGACACACGGCGGGUGCUAACGUCCGUCGUGAAGAGGGAAACAACCCAGACCGCCAGCUAAGGUCCCAAAGUCAUGGUUAAGUGGGAAACGAUGUGGGAAGGCACAGACAGCCAGGAUGUUGGCUUAGAAGCAGCCAUCAUUUAAAGAAAGCGUAAUAGCUCACUGGUCGAGUCGGCCUGCGCGGAAGAUGUAACGGGGCUAAACCAUGCACCGAAGCUGCGGCAGCGACACUAUGUGUUGUUGGGUAGGGGAGCGUUCUGUAAGCCUGCGAAGGUGGCCUGUGAGGGUUGCUGGAGGUAUCAGAAGUGCGAAUGCUGACAUAAGUAACGAUAAAGCGGGUGAAAAGCCCGCUCGCCGGAAGACCAAGGGUUCCUGUCCAACGUUAAUCGGGGCAGGGUGAGUCGACCCCUAAGGCGAGGCCGAAAGGCGUAGUCGAUGGGAAACAGGUUAAUAUUCCUGUACUUGGUGUUACUGCGAAGGGGGGACGGAGAAGGCUAUGUUAGCCGGGCGACGGUUGUCCCGGUUUAAGCAUGUAGGCUGGUUAUCCAGGCAAAUCCGGAUAAUCAAGGCUGAGGUGUGAUGACGAGGCACUACGGUGCUGAAGUAACAAAUGCCCUGCUUCCAGGAAAAGCCUCUAAGCAUCAGGUAACACGAAAUCGUACCCCAAACCGACACAGGUGGUCAGGUAGAGAAUACCAAGGCGCUUGAGAGAACUCGGGUGAAGGAACUAGGCAAAAUGGUGCCGUAACUUCGGGAGAAGGCACGCUGGUGUGUAGGUGAAGCCCCUGCGGGUGGAGCUGAGACCAGUCGAAGAUACCAGCUGGCUGCAACUGUUUAUUAAAAACACAGCACUGUGCAAACACGAAAGUGGACGUAUACGGUGUGACGCCUGCCCGGUGCCGGAAGGUUAAUUGAUGGGGUUAUCCGUAAGGAGAAGCUCUUGAUCGAAGCCCCGGUAAACGGCGGCCGUAACUAUAACGGUCCUAAGGUAGCGAAAUUCCUUGUCGGGUAAGUUCCGACCUGCACGAAUGGCGUAAUGAUGGCCAGGCUGUCUCCACCCGAGACUCAGUGAAAUUGAACUCGCUGUGAAGAUGCAGUGUACCCGCGGCAAGACGGAAAGACCCCGUGAACCUUUACUAUAGCUUGACACUGAACAUUGAGCCUUGAUGUGUAGGAUAGGUGGGAGGCUUUGAAGCGUGGACGCCAGUCUGCGUGGAGCCAACCUUGAAAUACCACCCUUUAAUGUUUGAUGUUCUAACGUUGGCCCCUUAUCGGGGUUGCGGACAGUGUCUGGUGGGUAGUUUGACUGGGGCGGUCUCCUCCCAAAGCGUAACGGAGGAGCACGAAGGUUAGCUAAUCCUGGUCGGACAUCAGGAGGUUAGUGCAAUGGCAUAAGCUAGCUUGACUGCGAGCGUGACGGCGCGAGCAGGUGCGAAAGCAGGUCAUAGUGAUCCGGUGGUUCUGAAUGGAAGGGCCAUCGCUCAACGGAUAAAAGGUACUCCGGGGAUAACAGGCUGAUACCGCCCAAGAGUUCAUAUCGACGGCGGUGUUUGGCACCUCGAUGUCGGCUCAUCACAUCCUGGGGCUGAAGUAGGUCCCAAGGGUAUGGCUGUUCGCCAUUUAAAGUGGUACGCGAGCUGGGUUUAGAACGUCGUGAGACAGUUCGGUCCCUAUCUGCCGUGGGCGCUGGAGAAUUGAGGGGGGCUGCUCCUAGUACGAGAGGACCGGAGUGGACGCAUCACUGGUGUUCGGGUUGUCAUGCCAAUGGCACUGCCCGGUAGCUAAAUGCGGAAGAGAUAAGUGCUGAAAGCAUCUAAGCACGAAACUUGCCCCGAGAUGAGUUCUCCCUGAGACUUUAAGUCUCCUGAAGGAACGUUAAAGACGAUGACGUUGAUAGGCCGGGUGUGUAAGCGCAGCGAUGCGUUGAGCUAACCGGUACUAAUGAACCGUGAGGCUUAACCUUACAACGCCGAAG
rnacentral:rRNA from 2 species